AUCCUGGCUCAGGACGAACCCUGGCGGCGUGCUUAACACAUGCAAGUCGAACGUGAUUUUUGUGGAAAUUCUUUCGGGAAUGGAAGUGAAAUGAAAGUGGCGAACGGGUGAGUAACACGUGAGCAACCUACCUUACACAGGGGGAUAGCCGUUGGAAACGACGAUUAAUACCGCAUGAGACCACAGAAUCGCAUGAUAUAGGGGUCAAAGAUUUAUCGGUGUAAGAAGGGCUCGCGUCUGAUUAGCUAGUUGGAAGGGUAAGGGCCUACCAAGGCGACGAUCAGUAGCCGGUCUGAGAGGAUGAACGGCCACAUUGGAACUGAGACACGGUCCAAACUCCUACGGGAGGCAGCAGUGGGGAAUAUUGCACAAUGGGGGGAACCCUGAUGCAGCGACGCCGCGUGAGCGAAGAAGGUUUUCGAAUCGUAAAGCUCUGUCCUAUGAGAAGAUAAUGACGGUAUCAUAGGAGGAAGCCCCGGCUAAAUACGUGCCAGCAGCCGCGGUAAUACAUAUGGGGCGAGCGUUGUCCGGAAUUAUUGGGCGUAUAGGGUACGUAGGCGGCCUUUUAAGUCCGGUGUGNNNGCGUGUGGCUUNCCCUCCUUNNGCCCUUGNNNCUGGGNGGCUUGNGUGNNGGNGNGGNNNGUGGNNUUCCUNGUGUNGCGGUGNNNUGCGUAGAUAUUUAGGAGGAAUACCGGUGGGGGAAAGAGACUUUUUGUGAUUUUUUUUGGACGCUCCGGUCGAAAAGCGUGGGGGGCAAAACAGGAUUAGUUACCCUGUUAGUCCACGCCGUAAACGAUGAAUGCUAGGUGUUGGGAGUCAAAUUUCGGUGCCGAAGAUAACACAUUAAGCAUUCCGCCUGGGGAGUACGGUGGCAACACUGAAACUCAAAGGAAUUGACGGGGGCCCGCACAAGCAGCGGAGCAUGUGGUUUAAUUCGAAGCAACGCGAAGAACCUUACCAAGGCUUGACAUAUAGUUGAGUUAUUGAGAAAUUGAUAAGUCCCUCGGGACAACUAUACAGGUGGUGCAUGGUUGUCGUCAGCUCGUGUCGUGAGAUGUUGGGUUAAGUCCCGCAACGAGCGCAACCCUUAUCUUCAGUUGCCAGCACGUAGAGGUGGGAACUCUGGAGAGACUGCCGAUGACAAAUCGGAGGAAGGUGGGGAUGACGUCAAAUCAUCAUGCCCUAUAUGCCCUGGGCUACACACGUGCUACAAUGGAAGAUACAAAGGGAAGC
rnacentral:rRNA from 1 species